GGGGAGUGAAAAAGAACCUGAAACCGUGUACGUACAAGCAGUGGGAGCCCCACCACCAAAGCAUUCUCUGGUGUUGAAGGCCCUGCAAAGCAGCAUCGCGGUGGCGGAGCGUCGUUUGCGACGCCCAACACACAAAACAAGCGGUGAAUGCUUUGGGGUGGGGUGACUGCGUACCUUUUGUAUAAUGGGUCAGCGACUUAUAUUCUGUAGCAAGGUUAACCGUAUAGGGGAGCCGUAGGGAAACCGAGUCUUAACCGGGCGUUAAGUUGCAGGGUAUAGACCCGAAACCCGGUGAUCUAGCCAUGGGCAGGUUGAAGGUUGGGUAACACUAACUGGAGGACCGAACCGACUAAUGUUGAAAAAUUAGCGGAUGACCUGUGGCUGGGGGUGAAAGGCCAAUCAAACCGGGAGAUAGCUGGUUCUCCCCGAAAGCUAUUUAGGUAGCGCCUCGUGAAUUCAUCUCCGGGGGUAGAGCACUGUUUCGGCUAGGGGGCCAUCCCGGCUUACCAACCCGAUGCAAACUGCGAAUACCGGAGAAUGUUAUCACGGGAGACACACGGCGGGUGCUAACGUCCGUCGUGAAGAGGGAAACAACCCAGACCGCCAGCUAAGGUCCCAAAGUCAUGGUUAAGUGGGAAACGAUGUGGGAAGGCCCAGACAGCCAGGAUGUUGGCUUAGAAGCAGCCAUCAUUUAAAGAAAGCGUAAUAGCUCACUGGUCGAGUCGGCCUGCGCGGAAGAUGUAACGGGGCUAAACCAU
rnacentral:rRNA from 1 species